CCUGGUGGCUCAGAGGGUAAAGCGUCUGCCUGCAGUGCAGGAGACCCGGGUUCGACCCCUGGGUCAGGA
rnacentral:tRNA from 1 species